AGAGUUUGAUCCUGGCUCAGAUUGAACGCUGGCGGUAUGCUUUACACAUGCAAGUCGAACGGCAGCACGGGGCAACCUGGUGGCGAGUGGCGAACGGGUGAGUAAUAUAUCGGAACAUGUCCGGAAGUGGGGGAUAACGUACCGAAAGGUACGCUAAUACCGCAUAUGCCCUGAGGGGGAAAGGGGGGGAUCGCAAGACCUCUCGCUUUCGGAGUGGCCGAUAUCGGAUUAGCUAGAUGGUGAGGUAAAGGCUCACCAUGGCGACGAUCCGUAGCUGGUCUGAGAGGACGACCAGCCACACUGGAACUGAGACACGGUCCAGACUCCUACGGGAGGCAGCAGUGGGGAAUUUUGGACAAUGGGGGCAACCCUGAUCCAGCCAUACCGCGUGAGUGAAGAAGGCCUUCGGGUUGUAAAGCUCUUUCGGACAGAAAGAAAUCGUGCGGGCUAAUACCCCGUAUGGAUGACGGUACUGUAAGAAGAAGCACCGGCUAACUACGUGCCAGCAGCCGCGGUAAUACGUAGGGUGCGAGCGUUAAUCGGAAUUACUGGGCGUAAAGCGUGCGCAGGCGGUUUUGUAAGACAGGUGUGAAAUCCCCGGGCUUAACCUGGGAACUGCAUUUGUGACUGCAAGGCUAGAGUGUAGCAGAGGGGGGUAGAAUUCCACGUGUAGCAGUGAAAUGCGUAGAGAUGUGGAGGAAUACCGAUGGCGAAGGCAGCCCCCUGGGUUAACACUGACGCUCAUGCACGAAAGCGUGGGGAGCAAACAGGAUUAGAUACCCUGGUAGUCCACGCCCUAA
rnacentral:rRNA from 1 species